CUGUCAUCAGGAAUUUGGUCCGACUCCCACGCACUCCUAGAGGCAGCGAGGGGGAGGGGAAGGAUGCGGGAGGCAGAACUCCUGAGGGAGAGGAUGUGGCUGUCGGGCGGCUCUCCCAGGCUCCCUGCCUUGCACAGGCUGUGGGAGGGGACCACGGAGGCGAGGCGGCUACUCUGGUCUCCAGAGAUUGACUCCCGCUGACUGCCCCCCCCACCCCGGCCCCAGGUCGCUGGGGAGGGACCCUUGGGAGAGACAGCAGAGGCUGGGAGGAUGCAGCCCGCCUUAUGCUGGCUGGAGGAAGGCCUCCCCGUUUCACACUCAUCCCGCCUGGGGGCAGGGCCCGGCGCUCCAGGGUCCAGCCGGCCCAGGACUGGGCUCCGCACCACACUCGCCCCCCAACUUAUCCCCCACCCUGCCACUGGGGCUGUGGCACAGAGAUGGCAAACACCCCCCAAGGCCUUGUGCCAGGUAAUUACCAAGCAAAUUCCCGGCGAUUUCCUCUCCCCACCCUGGGCAGCGCCUGCUGCGCGUUCCCUGAUUCGGGCCCCGGCUGUGCAAUCAGCGCCCGGGAACCUGCGGGGACCCGUAAUUGCUCUGGAGUUGCCCAGGACUUUGCAAGUUAACAGGUCUCUGACAGGCAGGGUCCUUCCUUUCCAGGAAGACCGUCUUGUCCACAGCCCGGCUGCUUCUGCCCUACGCGGAAGGUCGUGA
rnacentral:lncRNA from 1 species